rnacentral:lncRNA from 1 species
GAACAAAAGGACAUUUUCUAAAGAUGAAACAAGAAAUUAAAACUAGAGUUUGAGUUUGGGACCCAGAGAGUAUCACUAAACAAGUAAACCAAAACUAUCAACUACCUGUUUCAGGACUUUUUGUGAGGAGAGAAAAAUUCAUCCCAAUUUGUUUCAGCCACUACAGCAGGACACACUGUUACGUUCAGGCGAUUGAAGUUGCAACUAAUAAAAACAGUUGAGACAAAAACAGGAACCCAGAGACCAGAAUCAGGAGGGAUACGGAGCCUAAGAUAAGAGAAGGGAAUUAUGUAAGCAAAGCGCGGUGGCCGAGUCCUGCGUGUUUCUUUCUGACUGCAGCUGAUGUCUGGCAGAGAAAAACACCCUUCUGCCCUCAUCCUCUCCUCGUUCCUUUCUGAAGAGGCCUUGAGCUCCUACAGCAGCAGCUGAGCAGGUUAAGUCGGUUCCCCUGUGGUGAAGUGCAACCUUCAGGGAUCUGUAAAGGACAAAAGAAGGAAAAAUGGAGCCUUGGAUAUUUUCCAACAUUCCUGUUUUUUCUUAGCUGUUCCCUUAUCCUUCAAGAGGUCAAUUCUGUAUCAUUUCAUGCAAAGACUAUUACAAAGAACUCAUCUCCCUGCUUUGCUGUCUCUUCACUCCAUCCCUACCUGAAAAAUACCACUUACUCCAUUCCACUGCAAGUAUGUACCCUGGAGGAGGUGCUGUUCUGAGUGAUGGGCAUGCUGCAAUGAAUAAUAAAGAAAGCAGGACCUCUAUUCUCCUCA